rnacentral:rRNA from 1 species
GUCGUCAGCUCGUGUCGUGAGAUGUUGGGUUAAGUCCCGCAACGAGCGCAACCCUUGUGUUUAGUUGCAAACAAGGUCAAGCUGUGCACUCUAGACAGACUGCCGUGGACAACACGGAGGAAGGUGGGGGAUGACGUCAAAUCAUCAUGCCCCUUAUGAUCUGGGCUACACACGUGCUACAAUGGCCGGUACAACGGGCAGCGAAGGAGCGAUCCGGAGCGAAUCCUAAAAAGCCGGUCCCAGUUCGGAUUGCAGGCUGAAACUCGCCUACAUGAAGUUGGAGUUGCUAGUAAUCGCGAAUCAGAAUGUCGCGGUGAAUGCGUUCCCGGGUCUU